AAAAUCCUCAGCGACGGAGCCUCAACAACCGCCCGAAAGCACGGUAGCGUUAUAUGGUGGAGAGAGACUGAAGAGAGAGAGCGCCCAGCGGCAUUAGAACAAAGCAGUGAAUCAGAGAAAUAAAACGUGUGUUCGCUGAUUCAUCUCUAGAAAUGCAACUGUAGCAAGCAUGUCACUAUCACUAACAUUAUCCACAUCCAUAUUUACACGCAACAAAUGAUAUAUGCAGCUUCAAAAAAGUCUAAAAGUCGGAAGUUAGAACGAAUGCAUUGUGCAAAGAGUGGUUGCUAUGAAGACGAUACACGGUGUUGAGUUCUGUUGCUCUGAUUGGUUGUAGGUCUAUCCAAUGAAUGCAGAGGCAUUUUCUUUCCUGGUUCGGUUGGAACACGCCCCAUAAUCACAGCCCAAUGGAGCGGU